GGGUGCGAUCAUACCAACGUUAAUGCACCUGAUCCCAUCGGAACUCCAUAGUUAACCACACUUGGGCUAGAGUAGUACUAGGAUGGGUGACCUCCAAAGAAGUCUUAGUUUUGCACCCU
rfam:Picea glauca, whole genome shotgun sequence.